UCCCGGGUCGUCUAAGGGCAGGACAAUUGGUUUUGGUCCAAUUUAUGGGGGUUCGAAUCCUCCCCCGGGAG
rnacentral:tRNA from 1 species